GACGAACGCUGGCGGCGUGCUUAACACAUGCAAGUCGAACGGAAAGGCCCUGCUUUUGUGGGGUGCUCGAGUGGCGAACGGGUGAGUAACACGUGAGUAACCUGCCCUUGACUUUGGGAUAACUUCAGGAAACUGGGGCUAAUACCGGAUAGGAGCUCCUGCUGCAUGGUGGGGGUUGGAAAGUUUCGGCGGUUGGGGAUGGACUCGCGGCUUAUCAGCUUGUUGGUGGGGUAGUGGCUUACCAAGGCUUUGACGGGUAGCCGGCCUGAGAGGGUGACCGGCCACAUUGGGACUGAGGUAGGGACCAGACUCCUACGGGAGGCAGCAGUGGGGCAUAAUGCACACUGGGGCGAAGCCUGAUGCAGCAACGCCGCGUGCGGGAUGACGGCCUUCGGGUUGUAAACCGCUUUCGCCUGUGACGAAGCGUGAGUGACGGUAAUGGGUAAAGAAGCACCGGCUAACUACGUG
rnacentral:rRNA from 1 species